rnacentral:rRNA from 1 species
UACGAAGGUCCCGAGCGUUAUUCGGAAUCACUGGGCGUAAAGAGUACGUAGGCGGUUUGGUAAGUCAGGUGUGAAAUCCCGGAGCUCAACUCCGGAACUGCAUCCGAUACUGCUAGACUUGAGUAAUGGAGGGGCAGGUGGAAUUCUUGGUGUAGCAGUGAAAUGCGUGGAUAUCAAGAGGAAGACCAAUGGCGAAGGCAGCCUGCUGGACAUUUACUGACGCUGAGGUACGAAGGCCAGGGUAGCGAAA